UCUCCGUCUAUGUAAGCGAGAGCGAUCGGAACCCGCGCUACGAAAUCAGAAGGCAAGAAACAAGUAGGGGGUUUCCGGGUUCCCAUCGUCAUGGCCGGUGCCGGAGCCCACCCCUACUACCAGCAGCGGCCGCCGCCGCCGUCGCGUGCUCCUCCCACCCCCUCGAUGGAAUGGAGCUCGUCAUGGAAUUGCUUCUCUCCCUCUUCUUGAAGGUCCGCUCGAUCCAUGUGAGUGGGUUCCCGGGUGACUUGGAAGGGGAGAGAGCUUCAUCUCCUCAUGAGGUGGAAGCCAGGCUAUAUGGCCUCUCUUUUCCAGCCGCGAACAGACGCGGAAUUCGCCCUUUUCUCCACCCACCUGCACUCCAUCAUGGCCGCCCAAUUCUUUCUCAACGGCUUGGAGUUUGAUCGGCCAGCGGGUCAUAUAUUGCGUGCAGCGGUGGAAAACAGCAAUCUUGGCAUCAGGGUGCCAUGACCAAUUCCAUCUCCUUUAACCAAUGCUUGAUGAGCCAUGCAGCAUGAACUGGUCAUGUAUCACCACCCAGGUACAUACCUCCAUCCACUUCCUAUUUCUUGCAUGGAAGCUCUAUGGCAACCCAAGCACCAUGGCCUUCUGGUGCUGCCAUACCACCAUCUCGCAUUUCUGUGCCUGCUCAAGUAGCAGCCAUGUUUUGCUUAUUUGGCUACUAUUUCCAUUUCACAGCUCCAUCAUGGGAAAAAUCCUUUUGCUAAUAUGCUCUCGUAGACGAUCUUUAUCUUGCAUGUGGACAAUCGGACAGCUGUUGACCAGAAUUUGUGAGUGCUGCUCCUUCUAGCUCAGGUCCUGGCGGCAUCUGAAAACAGUAAUCCUCUUAUAUGCUGAUAAAUAAUGAUAAUUACAAUUUAUAGGUGUUCUUGCAUAACUUGAGUCCCGUGAUCUGCCCUAAUUGUUGUAUGCUCACAAAGCUGCAAAAAUAUAUAACUGACACAUAAUUUGGGAAGUGUUUUAAUCAUAGGAUACACCUUACAUGAAGAAGGCGUGCACAAGCCUUGUGCAAUCACAUGCAAUGUUAAUCACAUCUUCACUCCACAAAGAAUUAGUUGCUGGUGCUGUGUUUGAUGCCAGUCAAGCAGGCAUUUGAGCAGUAGUGUUAUGUUCGAAAAGUGCACAUAGUGAAUCAAUAUGAAAUGAAAAAGGUUAAGUCGAUAAGCUAAGUUAGUUUUAAAAAACAGUAUUUGUGUUAUGAAUUGGCCUCCAAUCCAGUUUGUUUCUGACAUGUCUACCAUCUAAAAGGACCCACCCACUUGGACAGUGAAAGUUGUAGUUUUUUUGGUGCCAUACCUGAAUCAAUCUGCUGCCAGCCAGCCAUAACUAGAAGGGAUGCAUGUUGCUCUUUCUGCCCGCUCAUGAACUAAAUAGUGAGAAGUGAUUACAUUGAAAUCAACCCAUUGCUUCCAUUAUUAUGAAUCCUCAAUCCUCAUCAACAUCCUUUUGUGAAUGCACCUGCUAAUCAUGAGUGCCACUUUCGACUCUCAUUGUAUGAUUUUAAUUGGUACAUUUUACACCUGCUAUUAAUAAAUGCUUUGGCAUUAUUUUCAUGUAUGAUAAGGCUAUGCCGACAACAAUGUAGUUAAAGGAGGAAGGGAUAAAACUCUCAACCAUAUGGUGAACUUCCAUGCUUACAUUUGGCAUUAUGACCUAUUUCUGUGAGAACUUGCUUGAACUAAUCAUUCCAUGACAUCUUGCUUGAGCGAAUACAUGUGUUGAUCAUGAGUGCCAGUAUCAUCUUCCACGGUGUGGUGUUAACCUGUUCAUUUUCUAUUUGUUAUUAUUAUGUGAUCUGGCAUGUUCAACAUGGAUGAAUAGGCUUUAUUCUAUCUCUAUGCAGUUAAGGGAGGCAGUGGUUUGACUGUGAACCAUAUGCUGGAAUUUACACAUGCUUGCAUUGGCGUUAUGAUCUAUUAUUUUGGUAUAUUGCUUGAAUGAAUCACUUGUCACAUGCGAAGUUGAUGUCCAAAUUCAUUUUAUGACAGAGUAGUUGUAGACAUGGAGCAUUGUCAUCAACUUGCAAUAGCCAAUUCAUCCAUCCAUCCAUUUAUUUGUUUAGCUCUAAACUGAUUGCUCUACUUCUCCCCCCAGGCUAAAGAAUAGAGGUGAGAUUGGAAAUUUAGUGGUCUGGUUUGUAUGCAAUGUGCUGCUGUUCAAGGAUUAGAUUUGGGAAAUAUGAUCGCUGCUUUAUACUUUAUGUUCUAGGAUUUUUUUUCCAAAAUCACUUUAAAUGCCUUUUGUGAUGAUAGAGAUAUUACUCAGGUUUUAUUUUUGUUGUGAAUGCAAACAAGCCUGACACAGUUAAGAAGUUUAAGCUGGUAUUUCAUCACAAUUAUCUAGUCA